rnacentral:lncRNA from 1 species
UACUCUCGCGCUUGACCUUAAUCACGAGAAUAUAAAAUAAGACAUUGCCUCGAGGAAAAUUCUUAAUUAAUGAGAAGCGUAAUUUAACUAUGCAUGAUCUUAUGCAUGAAUAUCUUCUGAGCAUAAUCGGGAAUUCUACUAUUAAUCCUCGUUAAUAGAUUUAGCUAAUUCUCGUCUAGCCGGUCGAAUAAAACUGUGAUUCUUCUUCUCAUCGGAAUAUUCUAGUCGUAAAUAAACUCGCAUUUGUAUUGAUUGAAAAAAACUAACUCGCUUUAAACGAGGUGUGACCUUGUAAAAUUAUCGGGCUUUUCGAUAGAAACAUCAUUACUAGGUAACCUCAAAUAAUUAAUAGGCUCAAACGAGAGUAGCCAAAUUAAUUAAAUAAACCAGUGGCUUUAAGAAAUAAAAUAUAGUGCUUUGAAGUCCGAAGUCGAAGUCCAAAAACAUUAAUUAAUAAAACUGGGCGCUACAAUUUAUGAAUAGAAUCGGCUCCCACUGAUAAAUAAUUGGGCUCAUCAUAAUAGAUACUGAAAUGCUUAACUGAAAGAAGUAACUUCAGCUCAAGCUUUAAAAGAAUUAAAGCCCAACUUAAAAAGUCUUCGACCCAAAACAAUUAAAAUAGGGGUCCAAAUAAUAAUUAAUGUGGACUGAAAAGAAUUAAUCUUAGCCAAAAAGGCAAUUUAAUCGGCCCAAAUGAUGAAUUAAACUGGCCCAACGAAAUAUAAAUGGGACUAGAAUAAUAGCCCAUCAUAAAAUAUGCAUCAGCCCAACUCCUUAAUUAAAUCGAGCCCAAUAGAAAUAAUGAGAAUGGCCAUUUAAAUAAAAGACUGGCCUAGUUUGAAUUUAAAUGUAAGCUCAUCAAUUAAAAUCAAGCCCGAACUUAAAAGUCUUUGGCCCAAAACAAUUAAAAGGUGAGGCCCAAAAUAAUUAAAAUUGGAAGCCCAAUUUAAAAAAAAACAAGCUCAAAAUUCGGCCCACAUAAAAGUAGAGGAAAGCCCAAACAAUUAAAAUUUUAAAGCCCAACUCUCUCUCUUUCUCUCACAAACUAUCGGACUCUCUCUCUUUCUCAAAACAAUUCACGCCUUUCUCUCUCUUUUCUCUCUCUCAAGGAGCUGCUCGCCCCUUUUCAAACUCAGCGUUCGAUCGGCCCUCCCAAAAAUCGGCCGGCUUCUUCUUCCUCAGCCGUUCAGCCAUCACUGCUCCGGUCAGCUUCGACCGGCGACUCAUGAAACCCCGGUAUCCCAGAGCCCAUCAUCGAGCCCUGAUUCUGGAAAUCAUCACCGCUGUCGCACCUCCGUCUGGAAUCCGGCGAGCGGUCGCCUCCUGGAAGCAGCGCCGUUCGUCUCCCUCGUCUCAAACAUGGAAUCGGGCGGUGCCGGCCGCUCUCUCUCUUUCUCGGCCAAGAUCUGAUCUUGCCGGCGUCAGCUGUCCCUGCGCCUAGUUCCGAUGCCAACGGAAGCUCCUUCGUCGUCGUGUAAGUUCUGCUCCGGUCCCUGAAACCGGUUGGUCUCCUCCCUCAGCCAUUCCGCUUCCGCUUUGAUGUUCCUGAGUUUCCGGCGACUGGAGUAAGAAGGCCUACGCCUCUCACCGCGCCGCUGCUGCCUUUGGACCAUUGCUGCUGUUCCUCCCGGCGGCAGGUGAAGGCCCGCCGAUCCGCUGCUGUUGUCGGAGUUCGAUGGAGCAGCAAGUAUUUGCCGUUGCCAUCGUCGGCUCAGCUUCGACCGAACGGAGCAACCGCCCUUCUAAAAGCUAAGUCUUUGUUCUAUCUUCCUCUUCUUCUUUGUAUAAGUCUUUAUAUAAACAAUGGUGUGUGGUUUGAAGUUAAAGGGGUCUGUUCUGUGUUCCUAUUUUGAUAAAGUUAGAGAUUAAACUAGGAACUGUGGUUUGCUAAUGUCAUAAGAAUUCUCAUCGUCUGACUCAUGUGAAGAAAUUGAAUUACAUAUGAAUUGAUUUCUGUGCUUGUGACUUUGCUAAGUCCAUAACCUAUACUCAUCUAUACAUUCAAUAUUUCUUCUUAAUCAUGCUUGUUGGAUGAAAUGCAAAUGGGAUUCGAAUGAAGGGAGCUUAGUAUAUACCUGUAAUUGCUUGUUGUUGGUGGCUGUUUGUUGCCAUUGAAUUUAAUGAGGAGAUAGCUGAAAUUUUCAGAUGCUUAUUGACAUAUGCAGGGGAAUCAAGAAUGGACUGGUGGAAAAACUUAAACCAAAGCUUACAUGUUCGAAGUUUGGCAGCAGUAAAUGAAAUCUCUCAUUCCUUUGGUUGUUGAAGAACUAAGGAAUGAGUAAAAGGGCUGAUAAUAGCCUUAAAGAAUCGAAUAUGGUGGGGAGCAAAGGGUGGUGGGUAGCUGAUGGAGUAGGUGGGAAGUUUGGUGGAGCAAAGGCGUGUAAACUUUAAUUGAUUGGAAAAAAAACUUUUGCUUUUGCUAAUUGAUUUGGUUGUCUUCUUGAUUGAUUCUGUAUAUUUAAUCGCGUUUUUGCAAUCAAAUACUGGCUUCUGCUCAUUAUUCGUGUAUAAAUUAAAUACGUAUAUUUAAUCUGCGUUGCAGUCGGAAUAAUUUCUCGACUUCUAUUAGCACUAAUAAA